UACGGGGGGAGCAAGCGUUGUUCGGAUUUACUGGGCGUAAAGGGUGUGUAGGCGGUUCUCUAAGUUUGGUGUGAAAUCUCCCGGCUCAACCGGGAGGGUGCGCCGAAAACUGGAGGGCUAGAGUGCGGGAAGGGAGAGUAGAAUUCCUGGUGUAGCGGUGAAAUGCGUAGAUAUCAGGAGGAAUACCGGUGGUGUAGACGGCUCUCUGGACCGCGACUGACGCUGAGACACGAAAGCGUGGGUAGCAAACAGG
rnacentral:rRNA from 1 species